GAGCUCCCCUGAUCUUGCUGGCAGACAUCUCCUGGUGUAGUGCUGGAUCAGCCAAUAACUCUUCCACGCUCCCAUGGAUGAUCUGAUGAGCAGCGUAGAUGUGUUUUCUUUGGGACUGCCUCACUGCACAGGAAAAGAGGCUUCAUUGACUACAAUUACAUCAUCCCGCUUUGGAAGGAGUGUGGAAGCAAGGCUAAGGAGAAGGGAGCCGAUUUAAGCUUACACAGAACUGUCAGCUGCUGAACAGAUGCUGUUGCUGUGACAAAUACACGAACCAGGAAUAAAGAGGUUUUCACAAUUCCUAGAUCGUAAAGCAUAUUUGGAAGGUUUGUGUUUUCAUUUAAAAAAAAAAUAGAAUAAAGUAAGCACCUUCGUUUUCAAGGCAGAGAAUUAUAAUGAGGCAAGGACCACUUCAGACUCAGCAGUGAUGCAAGCGCUCUUUGUAAGUUAUAUCCUCUUUAUAUGGAUGACUGGUUUAGUCACGACCUUCUGAGCAAGCUAGUCAGUGGAAAACUCUGAGUUAAAAACAGCCAUUUAUUCAUGACCAUCAAGGUAAUGCAUGGGUUUCCGGUGUCCUCCCCUCUGUAUUUUGAGAUAUAUCCUUCCAUUUUGACUAAACAGAAGUAUCUUUCCACACAGUAAGAUUACCUCCUUAAAGCAUGGUGCCACUACAGUCAACCUAAAAACCUUACUUGUGGUUUUAGUUUUUAACCAGUUGGGAAUAAAAGCCAUCGGAAAGGAUAUAAUAUUCCCUUCACAUGUUUAAGUAAUCUGCCUGUUAAAAGACUCCUACAGACUUUACAAAUUGCCACAUAACAGACAACCCACAACCAUGCUGCCUAAAGACUUUUUUUUUCUGUUUGUUUCUGGAUGUACAACGUUAUUUCUUUUUUCCACUUAUACAGUUCUAUGUUGCAGUUGCACCAAAUUGCAUCAGGUCUAAUUCAGGCCAUCGAGACCAUGAGAAAUUGGUGAAAAGGGACCAGAGGGCUCAACUUUCUACCUGCACAGUGCAGAAGAGGCAUCUCAGAGAACUGAUUCAUCUCCUGUCGCUGCAGUUUUUUCUUUUGGUGAGCAAGAGUGAAGAUGGUGAAGCAGUUCAAAAACAGCAACGAAAAAACUUGGCUCCUCACCUUUUUCUCUGAUAGACAUUUUCUCAAUCUCAGGUAUCAGGAAAGCAUAAACCAGCUCUGCUACAAUCUCUUCUGACUGUAGAAGCAGCUCUCCAUUCUCCUGAAGUGCAUGAGUGGUGCGCAGCUCUCGGAUCAGUUCCAGCCUCUUCUCCUUCUCUUCAAACAUCUUUUAAAUGAAGGUGCUGCAGAUGAAGUAUUCCAAGAGCAAAAGGAAGCAUUCCUGCCUUUCCAUACCACCAGCCAAGAAGAGAAAAGAAAAACUAGCCAAAGGACUGACUUUUGAUUUGGUGUGUUCUUUUCCUAUGGAAAGAAAGGAUGAAUUUACAGUCUAGUUAGAAAGCUAAACUGCACCACAUUACCUGGCUGCAGAGGUGAGGCCUACAAACCUUCCAGACAAGGAAAUGGAGACAAUUGAAAUAUAUGCUAUACAGCUACAAUCCAGCAGGAAAGAGUGACCUUGCCUUCAGUGCUCCUUGCAGACAGCUGGUAGGAGAAAGCUUACGUGGAUUCUGUAAGGUAGGUAGGUGAUGUUGCAGGUGCUCUUCAGUGGCUGAAGUGAACUGAUUCUACAGACCUCUUCACUGGAGAUCUCAAAUCGUAUAUGUGUUCAUAUACAAAGAUAUUUGAAAAUCAACCAAAUGUUGGUAGAAUUAAUGUAAGUGGAAGUGUACUGAAAUGGAACUCUUCCAAAAGAAAAUAUAAUCUGAAAAUAGCUUCAAGAAUGACUACGACUGAGGGAUACAUUUUUCUGAUUUCUUUCCUUGUAGCUAAAAAAAUCUCCUAAAGUCUUGUAUCUAAACAGUGUAAAUGUACAGCUCCAAUACAAUACCUAAUACCUAGGUGCUAGUAAAACUGUAGAAAGCUCUCCCCAAGCAGAUAUUCUUGUUGCAGUCAUCUUAAAAUGGACUGUAUAAAACAUAGAUCAUCAUACUGCAUGAGGGAAGGUGGCAUGGGUGGCUUAAUGAGACUUUUUCUCUCUUGCUUUCAUGGCUGUGUGACUCUCCAAAAUUCACAAGUUUAAAUGGUGAUUAUGUCUGAUUUUUUUACUGCCUCAGGAAAAUGGUGUUAAUAAGCAGACAAAGCAAUCCACUGGGGCAACCAUCUCUUAAGUGCAUUACUUCAAAAAUGGAAAAGAAGUUGCAGCUCCCCUAAGAAGUUGUUGUUUUUUUUUUCCUAUGGUACAUCACAGCCCUCAUUCUACAGAAGAGUGAAGGUGAACUGUCACCUAAACCAAGCAUGUUCAUCAAAGACUGAGUCCUGUGCAAUGACAAGAGCUUCACUUCAGCAAAUUAAUGAUGUGCAUGCUCAGUGCUAAGUACCCAAAGUCUCACAGACUUCAAUGGGACUAAACUUAACAGCUCCACUGGAUUACGAUAGUGUUGUCAGAUCAGAAGGAUGGAAGACGCUGAAUAAACUCAUGUUUGCAGAGGUGUAUGACUGCUUUUUUGUUCCCAAAGAGCAAGGGAACAACACGUCUACUAAUUUAUUUCUUUAUGAAUGGAAGCUAAUUAAAGGAUUCAGCCAACAGAUAAGGUAAAAGAUUUCCAGUUCUUCAGUUAUUAGAAUCUUUGUAGAAUAAAUAAAUAAGAGGGACUUAAGAAAUACUGUUGUAUUUCUAAGACAAAUACACUACAACAAAAAAAGAUAAAACUCACUUCUUUCCUUUUCUGGGCACUCCUUCAACAACCAGGUAGGGAAUAAUGGAGGAUCAAAAGAAAAUAAAUGAAUAGUGCUGAAAUC